GGGGGGGGGGGGGGGGGGGGGUGGGGGGGGGGGGUCGGGGGGGGGGGGCCGGGGUGGUGGGGGGGUGGGUGGGGGGCGGGGGGGUAGGGCGUGAGUAACCUGCCCUUGACUCUGGGGUAGGCCUGGGACACUGGGUCUAAUCCUGGAUAUGGCUUCGCAUCGCAUGGUGGGGGGGGUGCAGAUUUAUUUGUCUUGGAUGGACUCGCGACCUAUCAGCUUGUUGGUGCGGUUAUGGCUGCCCAAGGCUACGACGGGUAGCCGGCAUGAGAGGGUGACCGGCCACACUGGGACUGAGACACGGCCCAGACUCCUACGGGAGGCAGCAGUGGGGAAUAUUGCACAAUGGGCGCAAGCCUGAUGCAGCGACGCCGCGUGAGGGAUGACGGCCUUCGGGUUGUAAACCUCUUUCAGUAGGGAAGAAGCGAGAGUGACGGUACCUGCAGAAGAAGCGCCGGCUAACUACGUG
rnacentral:rRNA from 1 species